GACGAACGCUGGCGGCGUGCUUAACACAUGCAAGUCGAACGGAAAGGCCCUGCUUUUGUGGGGUGCUCGAGUGGCGAACGGGUGAGUAACACGUGAGUAACCUGCCCUUGACUUUGGGAUAACUUCAGGAAACUGGGGCUAAUACCGGAUAGGAGCUCCUGCUGCAUGGUGGGGGUUGGAAAGUUUCGGCGGUUGGGGAUGGACUCGCGGCUUAUCAGCUUGUUGGUGGGGUAGUGGCUUACCAAGGCUUUGACGGGUAGGCGGCCUGAGAGGGUGACCGGCCACAUUGGGACUGAGAGACGGCCCAGACUCCUACGGGAGGCAGCAGUGGGGAAUAUUGCACAAUGGGCGGAAGCCUGAUGCAGCAACGCCGCGUGCGGGAUGACGGCCUUCGGGUUGUAAACCGCUUUCGCCUGUGACGAAGCGUGAGUGACGGUAAUGGGUAAAGAAGCACCGGCUAACUACGUG
rnacentral:rRNA from 1 species